UCUGGCCAGAAAUAAACAGGGGGAAGGCAUCACUAAAGAGGCUUCAGCAGCCCUGAGAGCAGUGCUGCUGCUACCUGCAUGCUGGAUGCUCCUCAUCUUCAUGCUUCUGACCACAGCCCUUCCCACAACAUCAAGGCACGCUCAAGUGACGGGAAUCCAGGGAGGCAGACAUCUAGUGUGGGGCUGGCUUGUCCUCAGGAAGUAGGGCAAAGUGGUCAGGGCAUGGCCUGGGACCAAGAGUGAAAUGAUAGCCACAUUGUCACCCAGUUAAAAAUAAACAAAUCCAACAUGACUUUACAGAAAGCAGUGUUGGAAAUGCCACAGAAAUAACAAAGAUCUGCAGGUCUGGUUAUAAAAAGGGUGUGGGAGGAAAAAACGCAGCAGAAAGGUGGAGAUUUAUGGGGACCUCUUACAAAGCAUAAUUGAGAGAGCAGGGAGAAGAAACAGAAAUAUGUGUAAAGAUGCCAGGGGACAUGUUCCAAUCUCAUAUCUGAAGAUGCAUGUGCAUUUAUGGGCAAGUGAUUACUCCAGUGUAUUGGUAAAGGCAUAUGAAAACAGGUAUAUGCAUAUGCAAGCAGCCAUUUACGUUCACUGGUAUGAAUUAUGCAUAUACAGCUUCCUGUAAGAUGCAUGGCCCUGUGGCUUUUAUUGGUGCAAAUCAAGACUCAUGCAUUUUGAAUAUAUGGCCCUUUUAUGUCUGCCUACACCUAUGUCAGUAUUUUAUUGGGCUACUGUGUGCAUUUCACAGAGACUAUGUUGCAGAGAUCCGUACCACUAUCAGCCUUAGUUGAGGAUGCUGCCAACCUGUGUGGACAGAGCAUUAGAUAGCAGAGCAUUAAGGUAACUGUUUUUUUAUCCCUUAAAUGCUGUAUUUCAGGCCAAUCACUUUACAGGAUGCACAGAGCAAGCACUACUGCUCUGUACAGGAAUAAAGAACUGAUACGGCGCACUUCUGCUCUCACUGAGGGCAAAGAGGAGGCCAUCUAUUCUUGUUGUGUUCAAAAAGGUCUGUUUAUAAAGCUGCAUAUGAAAUGGUGGUGGAUUCUUUGCCAGUGACUGACUUGCUGCACAGGCACAAGCAAAGUGCUUACCCUUUUGUUCUUGCUUUCUGCCAUAGCAAAAAUAACAGGAUAGCAAACUGCUACAGCUUUAUUUAGAAGGUGACCUGGAGAGAAACUGAGGGGUGGACGUACCGUUUUCUGCCUCACCUGGGACAGAACGUGAAGGGACAGAAUGUGAACGCAGCUGUACUCUUUGUUCCUGCCUGCAGCCCCUCGGAGCCCUCCUUCCCUGGUGGUGCAUGAUAGCACAGCAUCCCACUGAUCGAUGCUGAUGAACUGACUCCAGAAAAAGGGCCUUCCUUCCUUUGUUUCCUACUAGCCAGGAAACGAUUGGGCCGGUCCACCCUUGGGACACUUUGCAGUCUAUAAAACCAAGCGACAGCUCUUAUGCCGGGUAGCACAGCCCAGGCGCCUUGCAGGGAGGCACAGGGAGGAGCAAGGUUCAUCUCCCCAGCCCAGACAGUUGAGGAAGAGGCCAAAUCAUUGGGUGGAGAAUCCUUUUUACUUCCAGGUGUAGCAGCUGAUUAAGUGAAAAGGCACCGCCUAGCUGUAAUGGGAUCCUACUGAAUCUCCUGGGCAAUAGCGCAGCAACAUUCUUUCCCAGUCUAAGUGAUACUGCAGCGUGUCGGCGCAUUUGGAGGUCAAGCAGCGUGGCAGUAUGAUGAAAACUCCC
ensembl:lncRNA